GACGAACGCUGGCGGCGUGCUUAACACAUGCAAGUCGAACGGAAAGGCCCUGCUUUUGUGGGGUGCUCGAGUGGCGAACGGGUGAGUAACACGUGAGUAACCUGCCCUUGACUUUGGGAUAACUUCAGGAAACUGGGGCUAAUACCGGAUAGGAGCUCCUGCUGCAUGGUGGGGGUUGGAAAGUUUCGGCGGUUGGGGAUGGACUCGCGGCUUAUCAGCUUGUUGGUGGGGUAGUGGCUUACCAAGGCUUUGACGGGUAGCCGGCCUGAGAGGGUGACCGGCCACAUUGGGACUGAGAUACGGCCCAGACUCCUACGGGAGGCGGCAGUGGGGAAUAUUGCACAAUGGGCGGAAGCCUUAUGCAGCAACGCCGCGUGCGGGAUGACGGCCUUCGGGUUGUAAACCGCUUUCGCCUGUGACGAAGCGUGAGUGACGGUAAUGGGUAAAGAAGCACCGGCUAACUACGUG
rnacentral:rRNA from 1 species